rnacentral:lncRNA from 1 species
GUUUGUUUCGGCAUUUUCCUCGCAUACAUCUGAUGCAGCGAGUGUCACCUUUCGCCCCUAUCUAUCGAAGACGAACAGAAGGGAGUUUUGGUUGGCAUCUUUGUCCUCGCUGUUGUGGCUGUCUUACGAAGAAUCUCACCACCUUGAAAGUCAUCAACAGACGUGGCGUUGUUGUGAGAGCGCCUUUGGUGGAAAAGUGCUAUCUGACGUUUUUGUGUAUCCACAGAAGUCGAAACUAGUCUCUCAAUGGACAUCUCCAUCCAGCUUUUGUCCGACUCAACGGGGCAAAGAGCCUUUUCUGCAGUUGAGAGACAACAUCGCCCCGAGAAGGGUUUGAAAGGGCGUCACAUGAACAAUCUACGGGGGAAAUCAGGCACAGGUCUCAGAAACCGGCAGUGUAGUGAGCACGCUCUAACAGCUUCUUCAUUGCUAGUUACGAUGGGAGAAGACGCAAUGUUUUGCUUGUAUCAACACUGUCAUACCUUCCCAUGUAUUGUGCCCGAUAACACGCAUCAAUAAGGCUAUGACUCCAAACAGGCGUGCGGAAAUCAAUUUACUUAAGCAUCUGUCCUCAAUUCCAGCUGGAGAAAGCUGCCAUAUUUUGUACGAGUGAUAUUGUGUUUCUUCAGUACUGGUGGUAGUGUGUCCCAUGUACUCACGCACAUCGCCUACCAAUUCAGGCCCAAGCCAUAUAGAAAAACGUGGCAUGGUGAUGCGUACCGUGUUUGAAACUUUCUUCUCUGCACCAGAGCAAGAAGGGGAAAAGGAGUGUAACUAAGACUGGUGUAUCGUAUUCCACAGAGGGGGCUCACCCGCUAACUUGGUUCUAACGUCUCCCCAAGCCUCUAGAAGACGGAACUCAGGAUAGCGACUCAUGACCUCAAUUUGCU